CUCGACUGCACGAAGCUGGAAUCGCUAGUAAUCGCGGAUCAGCACGCCGCGGUGAAUACGUUCCCGGGCCUUGUACACACCGCCCGUCACACCAUGGAAGUCUGCAAUGCCCGAAGCCGGUGGCCUAACCACUUAUGUGGAAGGAGCCGUCUAAGGCAGGGCAGAUGACUGGGGUGAAGUCGUAACAAGGUAUC
rnacentral:rRNA from 1 species